AUUGAACGCUGGCGGCAGGCCUAACACAUGCAAGUCGAGCGGAGCGGCGGACGGGCGAGUAAUGCCUAUGUAUCUGCCUGGUAGUGGGGGAUAACGUCCGGGUACGGGCGCUAACAUCGCAUACUAUCAGUCGAGCCUAGGUCGGAUUAGCUAGUUGGUAGGGUAAAGGCCUACCAAGGCGACGAGCCGUAGCUGGUCUGAGAGGAUGAUCAGUCACACUGGAACGGAGACACGGUCCAGACUCCUACGGGAGGCAGCAGUGGGGAAUAUUGGACAAUGGGCGAAAGCCUGAUGCAGCCAUGCCGCGUGUAUGAAGAAGGUCUUAGGAUUGUAAAGCACUUUAAGUUGGGAGGCGUUACCAACAGAAGAAGCACCGGCUAACUUCGUGCCAGCAGCCGCGGUAAUUC
rnacentral:rRNA from 1 species